GGAGAUGGUUUUUGGUUCAGUGGCAGAGCGAAUGCUCUGUAUGCAAAAGGUCCUAGGAUCAAUCCCUGACAUUUCCA